rnacentral:rRNA from 1 species
UAACGCGUGAGCAACCUUUCCCAGACAGGGGAAUAACACACCGAAAGGUGUACUAAUACCGCAUAAGACCACGGUUUCACAUGGAACUGAGGUAAAAGAUUUAUCGGUUUGGGGUGGGCUCGCGUCCGAUUAGGUAGUUGGUGAGGUAACGGCCCACCAAGCCGACGAUCGGUAGCCGACCUGAGAGGGUGAUCGGCCACAUUGGGACUGAGACACGGCCCAAACUCCUACGGGAGGCAGCAGUGGGGAAUAUUGGGCAAUGGGGGGAACCCUGACCCAGCAACGCCGCGUGGAGGAAGAAGGUUUUCGGAUCGUAAACUCCUGUCCUUGGAGACGAGUAGAAGACGGUAUCCAAGGAGGAAGCCCCGGCUAACUACGUGCCAGCAGCCGCGGUAAUACGUAGGGGGCAAGCGUUGUCCGGAAUAAUUGGGCGUAAAGGGCGCGUAGGCGGCUCGGUAAGUCUGGAGUGAAAGUCCUGCUUUUAAGGUGGGAAUUGCUUUGGAUACUGUCGGGCUUGAGUGCAGGAGAGGUUAGUGGAAUUCCCAGUGUAGCGGUGAAAUGCGUAGAGAUUGGGAGGAACACCAGUGGCGAAGGCGACUAACUGGACUGUAACUGACGCUGAGGCGCGAAAGUGUGGGGAGCAAACAGGAUUAGAUACCCUGGUAGUCCACACUGUAAACGAUGAAUGCUAGGUGU